UACCUGUGGCGCGCUGGGUUGUUGACGAGUUUUCUCUGGGGAGGGUCUGUCUGCUACGAGACAUGGCCUGAGUGGGUUACCUUUUUUACUGCCGAUGGAGUGGCUGCGGUAUUUAAAUUCAUGGCUGUAACUUUGCGUGGAAGUUUGGUAAACCUUGGUGGAAUAUAAGAACUUAAGUUACGGCAGGUUUUGCUCCGUCGGUUACACCAUGUUCGAGUGCAGCAGUGUUCUACGCAGUUAUUACCAAUGAGGAGAAAAAUUUUAUUUUUAGUAUAUUGAGAAUUUUAAAUUUUUUUAGAGUGAGCCUUGUCGCUAAUGUCGUGGAUGUCAAAUGGUGCCGUGCGUGCUGCUGAUCCUCCUUCAGCCCAGUUAAGGCUUGUCCGCGAGGAAGUGUAAAUGCUUGAUUUUGAGGCUUCUUUAUUGGAUAUCUCCGGAAGCAGAUGGCGGGUAGCCGAAGGUUCACAGAUAUUUCUCGACAUGUAGUUCGGGUGGAAUCGUGUGGUUCCGGAUUUUUUUUCUUCAACAAAAAAAAAGUUUAUAAACAAUUGUGUCCCAUGACAUCUCACGUAAAAUAUUUGUAAUACAUCGUUAGCAUGGAGAGAUUUGAUAAUAUUUUACCAAAUAUUUGAUUGAACUUUCAAGUAAGAAAAUAUUUUUCUAGUCAAGUUAUAUGAUUAUUGUUUUUUGUUUAUUGUCCAUUUACACAUUGCUAGUGAAAUAUGCCUACGAUUCAACUGUGUUGUGUAUCAAUAUUGUCUAAAAAUUUAAUACUGAGGGUUAAUUUUUUUGUUUCAGAUUGUUUGUGGAGAUUCAGCAUAUGUUCAAGAGCAGUUGAGUGCAUUCAAGCGAGAAUAUUUAAAAGUAAAUUUUGCCGGGGCUGAAUUAUUCAGGCAUAUGGAGAAAUGAACACUAGCUUUCCAUCAACUGCAGUGGAUACCAUGUGUAAAUUAGCAAGGAUUUAUUACUAGUGCAGUGUCUUAUUUAAUAACAUUGUAUUUAUAAUAAAAUUUUAAGAUGCCUAUUUGAAUAAAAAUGUUUAUCAAAAUA